UACGGAGGGGGCUAGCGUUGUUCGGAAUUACUGGGCGUAAAGCGCACGUAGGCGGCUUUGUAAGUUAGAGGUGAAAGCCCGGGGCUCAACUCCGGAAUUGCCUUUAAAACUGCAUCGCUAGAAUUGUGGAGAGGUGAGUGGAAUUCCGAGUGUAGAGGUGAAAUUCGUAGAUAUUCGGAAGAACACCAGUGGCGAAGGCGACUCACUGGACACAUAUUGACGCUGAGGUGCGAAAGCGUGGGGAGCAAACGGG
rnacentral:rRNA from 1 species